rnacentral:miRNA from 1 species
AUAUUAAUUACAUAUAUUAAAGAUAAUAUAUGAGUAUUAAAACAGUAGUUAAUAGAUUAGUUAAUGUAUUUUGUUAAUUAUAAAUAUUUAAAUAAA